rnacentral:tRNA from 1 species
UCUCAUUUGGCAGACCUUUCAAUGCAAAAGACUUAGAAUCUUUAUAACUACUU